AGUCGAAUGAGCCUAUUUGGUGCGUUAAGCGCCUCCAAUGACAACGUAGCUUCCUUUUUGGUAGCUAGAUUUGUCGCCUUUGCUUCUCAGCAUGCGUCAAUGCCGCCUCCAUCUUUCUCCAGUCAUUUUGCGUUCUAAAUCUGAAUAAACUCCUGAGCAGCUCAAAAGAUGCCGGACUGUUGUGCUGCAUUUGGUUGUUCAAAUAGAAGAAGUGCGAAAACUAAAGAGCAAGGUAUAACAUUUCACAGAUUUCCAACUGACAAAGUCAGGCGCAAGGCAUGGGCAGCAAAACUGAGAAGAGAGAAUUUUACUCCAACACACUUCACCCUGCUCUGCAGCUGUCAUUUUAAACCUGAGGAUUUUGACAUAACUGGACAGACGGUCCGUUUAAGGGAAGGAGUGAUCCCAUCCAUUUUUAAGUUUCCUGAUCAAAGGCCUAGUACACCCAGGACAACCAAGACAUCACAAAAGGCAACUGUAGAAUUUCCACAUCCACCGUCACAGUCACGUUCACCUGUCAGAGGACUUGAAGGACUCAACCUCAGUGAGGUGUCAAUCUCACGGACUAGUACACCCAAGACAACCAAGACAUCACAAAAGGCAACUGCAGAAUUUCCACAUCCACUGUCACGGUCACGUUCACCUGUCAGAGGACUUGAAGGACUCAACUUCAGUGAGGUGUCAAUCUCAGAUCAUCAGUAUGCCUUGGACCCACUUAAAGCAAAGCAGAAGUUAAUUGAAGCUCAGGAGGAGCUAGUGAGAUUACGACGGCACUUAAGAAAUGCUAGGGACAGAGAAAGAAGACAGAAGAAGACAGUGAAUGCCUUGUUAGAGGAUAAAAAAAGGACACAAAGCUGCUAACAGAGGAACUACAGGAGAAGCUGGAUUUCUGCUGUGGUUGGUUGACUUACUUGAUACAGGCUCUGUAAAACAGAAGAUUGUAACAUUUACCUCUGGAAAUGUUAACAAAAUCAGUACACCUACCUGUUAUUGUCACUUACAAAACCAUUAUUUUGUUUCUGUUUUGAAUUAUUUUAAAAAAUAAAAUAAAUGUGCUAAAUGCUGUA